rnacentral:lncRNA from 1 species
GUAUGAUGGACUUCAGUCUCUACAUUAUCUUAUAUGCAUAUGAAGAUGGUUCAUAUCUGCUAACAUUAUUUACUGCUAAGCAGAAUGUUUUAGAGAUCACAGUUGUGCAUCACGAUUACAUAGAUCCAAGCAACUUAAUGUUUACCGAAAUUAAAGUCCUGCGCAUGACCACCAACGUUCACCAGCUGGGACAAUUCCAUCAGCUUAUGUGCUGAGCUACAACAGCACCACCCAGGGCUUGUCAGAGCACAGCAUGUUAGCUGAACUACACGCAUUUCGGCCAGGGGGAACGGCUUUUACUGAAUCCCCAAGAUAAUAAUUCAUCAGGAACUCAUUCAGACUGAGAAAUCACAGCUUCCAACAGGUGUUGGCUGCCUCAGGGAGGUGCUCCCCACUCUGUCUCUUCCCAAUGGCUGAGGAAAUGAGGAUUGUGGCCAGGUUUUUGUGCUGGGGGCAUCAGGAGCAUUUUCCGUGAGGAGAGACCAGGGGCUGCCACUGCCAGCACAGCCCCUUCCAGCCGAACUGCCACAGCACGUGGCUGAGCCCAUCAGCAACCUGGGUGGUGCCUCUGUAAUAACGUAUCUAGGAAAGGGUAAAAAAAAUCAUGGUGGUGCAGCUCUGAGAGAGAGGAGUGAGGAAAAAUGUGAGACAACCAGCCCUGCAGACACCAAGAAAGAGGGGCAGGAGGUGCUCCAGGUGCUGAAGGAGAGGUUCACCUGCAGUCCGUGGUGGGGAGGACCGUGGCAGAGCAGGCUGGCCCCCUGCGGCCCUUGGAAGACCACUGUGGAGCAGAUAUCCACACUGUAGCCCAUGGAGGACUUCACACAGGAGCAGGAGAAUAUGCCCUGAAUGGAUCUGCAGCCCAUGGGGAGCCCACGCAGGCUCAGGCCUCUGUCAGGAGCUGCGGCUUGCUGGGGACCCGCACUGCAACAGUCG